AGCAUUUUUACAGCAGCGAUUCACCUCCCAGUCACAUCAGCGUUCUAUUGCAGAGAGAGACAGAGAGCAGUGUGUUGCACAGAAAAGCUUUUUGACAGCAGCGAUUCACCUCAAGCCCAAAUCCAGCCUAGAAGCACUUAUCGGAAAGGGAGUGAGAUUAAGAAAGAAAGUGCAGCAUUGGUGUGUACAACAACUGAAAAACUAAUAGUAGCCAGCCAGAUAGGUCUUCUUUCUCCUGCAUUAUAGAGACAUUGUGGUGAAGACUUAUUUUUUUCAUUCUAAAACAUUUGAUUUCUGCUUUCAAAGCCAGUAACCCAAAUCUGUGGAAACAUCUCUGACUAAUGUAAUGGAAACCUUACUUUUUAAUGCCACAAUUGUUAGUUCCACUUUCUCAAAACCUGGCAAACCUGAUGUUUCAAGUCCAAAUCUAGCCUAGUUGGCAAGGAACAGAGACACAAAGCCUGAAGAAAAGGGGACCCAAGUCUUCGACUACCAAAGGAAAGUCACAAAACACCCAAGGUUCCUUUUUUAGGGACAGAGAGACACACCACGCCAGAGAGAAGCGACAUGCAAGAAGAGGGGGCCGCAACUGAAGAAAAGAAAACCACUCGGGGCAAAGAGGGGGCAGAAUGGGGACCAACAAGUAGAGGGAUCUUGUAACGAACAGAGCCUUGUGUAUUUUCGGGACACAUUAUGAUUUGUAUUUACAUGGAACCCCAAUGGACACUCUACAACACGAUUGCAGUAUCUGCUGAAGCUCAAGAACACUAUAGUGUGAGAAUUUUCCAGUUGAUGUUUUUCUUGGAAGACAGAGGACCAUCUGCCACACCAAGCGCAAUACUUUGUU